GACGAACGCUGGCGGCGUGCCUAACACAUGCAAGUCGAACGAAACGUUCGGGUCUAUGUGCGCACCUGUGGUUGACACGUGGUGAGUUACCCUUAGGUUCGGUGUAACUCCCCGAGGGGGAAGCUAAUGCCACUGGAGGUAUUCGGGGCAAAGAUUUCUCGCCGUUGGGUGGGCCCUCGUUAGUUUCGGCGGUUGGUAGGGUAAUAGCCGACCAUGGCCACGAUGCAUAGCUGGUCUGUUAGGAUGAUCAGCCACACUUGGACUGCGACACGGCCCAGAACCGGACGGGAGGGAGGAGUGGGGAAUAUUGGACAAGGGGCGAAAGUCUGAUCCAGCAAUGCCGGGGGAGUGAUGAAGGCCUUAGGGUUGUAAAGCUCUCUUAGCCGGGAUGAUAAUGACAGUACCGGGAGAAGAAGCACCGGCUAACUACGUG
rnacentral:rRNA from 1 species